GGGAAUUUGACAAACAGGCCCCUGUAUGCCCAGGAAGCCUCUGCUAGUUUCCAAGGGGAGCUGGGGGGUUGGUACCACUGGGGGUGCACCUUUGGGUUUCCCAGAGGGCCGCAGAGGGAAGCAAGGGGAGCCUCGUGAAUACGUUCGUCAAUGAAAGAGGCCCGUGAGAGUGACCCUGCUCCUGGUUCCCAACUCCAGGGUCCCACUUAGCGGGAGUGGUGAGGAGAGACUGGAGAGCUGGCUCAGAAUUCUACAGAGGCUCCGGGACCACCCCAGGGAAGCUCACACAGAAUGCAGAACCUCCGACAGAGCCGCCAGCCCAGUGGAAAUCCAUGUGCUGCUUGUUUCUUCAAUUUCUUGUGGCUAAACCAAUGACGAUGACGGUUUCAGGAAAAGAAGAAGAUAGAAAGUCCUUCCAAGCCAUGACUGAGGAUUCUCCUGGAAAGGGAAAGAUAGAAAUAAAGCUCAGUGUGUAAACUAAUUGACCAAAGGGCUCACAAACAAGUUACGUAAUUUUAAAAUUCUAUCCCCAAUCUGUUCAUUGUGGCUGUUAAGGAAGGUGGCUCUUAUCAGUGGGUGGCCUGGCAGACCAUAUGUUCUACUACCUGGCCACAGCAGGUGGGAAAGACAGAACCCACUUCUAAAAUACGAAUUUUAGCAAUACUCUGUGUGCAUGCCCGUGUGCAUAUUUUGGGGUAAAACAAGCAAGCAUGGUCAGACCUUCAAGGUUAUAUCAGUGUAGACCUGUGUGCAUAAGUGUGAUUUUCAAAAACGCG
rnacentral:lncRNA from 1 species